UCGAGGGACCAAAAAAAAACUCUUUAUAGCUCCCAAUCUCUGAAACCCUAAAAAAUCAAAAAAGCUCCAGCUCCGCGAAUCCUUCAGGGUGGGGUUACUGUUCGAAUGGCAGAUGUUGCUGGAAAUGUACUGCUGGUAACAAUAGAGGGCGACGAUGCAUGCCUUGUCAGCAUCGAUGACGUACACUUGGUUGCGGUUUGUCACGUUUUGGAAAGCUUUUGUUUGACGUAUAUGUAAAUGGAUCAGUAGGCUCAUUUCAAGGCAAUAUCUUAGAUGGCAGCUUAAUGCAUUGGGAGAAAGAGUGCAUGUGUGUUUGUCUCCUUUCUCCUUUCCUUAACACUGGCUCUUUCUUCCCUACUCUUCCUCCUCAACUUCCUAUACCUACCAUUCUAAUGCUUUUUUCAGCUUUUGGAUUUGUGCAAAAGAUUAUAACCUUUGAGAAAGCCGGAUUCCAGGCGCUGGUACAAUUUUCAGAUACAGAGACAGCCUCUUCUGCGAAGAAUGCCCGUGAUGGAAGAAGCAUUCCUAGGCCACUUCCAUCCCCAUCCCCAUCCCCAUCCCC